rnacentral:snRNA from 1 species
AUCGGUUCUCGGCUUUUUGGCUAAGAUCAAGUGUAGUAUCUGUUCUUAUCAAACCUACACAUCUUGGCUCCUAGGUCCAAGUUGCGGUCAUGUUCCAAAGGGUGGUGGAUGCUGUUAUUUAAUGGCAGUUAUCUGAAUCUCAACUAGGAGAAAAUUAUUCUGCAUUUGUUAUUUUUAAGGUGGAGAAACACCUAGACUAGUGUCUUGCAUAAUUCUCCUCCUGGUGGUUGUUAU